AUUGAACGCUGGCGGCAGGCCUAACACAUGCAAGUCGAGCGAGCGGCGGAGGGGAGUGUAAUGCGUGGGAAUUGUCAAGUCGAGGGGGAAAACAGUUGGAAACGACGGAUAAUACCGCAUCCGCUUGGAUUGCACAGGUGGGAUUAGCUAAUUGGUGGGGAAAUGGCUCACCAAGGCGACGAUCCUUAGCUGGUCUGAGAGGAUGAUCAGCCACACUGGAACUGAGACACGGUCCAGACUCCUACGGGAGGCAGCAGUGGGGAAUAUUGCACAAUGGGGGAAACCCUGAUGCAGCCAUGCCGCGUGUGUGAAGAAGGCCUUCGGGUUGUAAAGCACUUUCAGCGGGGAGGCGUUACUCGCAGAAGAAGCACCGGCUAACACCGUGCCAGCAGCCGCGGUAAUAC
rnacentral:rRNA from 1 species